UGUGCCAGGCAUGCUAGGACCACAGAGCAUUGUGGAGAGAGACUCAUAUGGUUGUUGUUAUUAAAGAAUAGGCAAGAAGUCUCCCCUCCUGCACCUGGAACCCAUGAGGGACGGUGCUAAGCGCAGGUGGCCUCAUGCCUACGCCAGCAUGGCUAGAGCACACGGUUAUCCAGGGCCUGGGGGCCGAGGAGUCCAUGCUGUUCAGAGGCAACUGGGAGCCUCUGAAAUGUUCUGAGCAGACGGAAGGCCCACCCCAAGGGCUGCACAGAGAGAGACUGGAGGGAGAGAGAAAGACAGAGGGCUGCAGAAAUGUUUACAGCUCGCCCUCGUUAUGGGAGCCAGACUUAGGAUCAAGAUGGCAAACGGAUUUCAGACCUGAAGCCGACUCUGACUGCGACUGCCUGGAGUGCUGCCAAAAAAGAAUCCCCACCUGCGUCUGGAUGCAGAGGGAAGAGUGCGUGAUCCAUUGGUGAUGUCUGCCCUGAGCACAGGGGGAUCGUUCUACCUGCCUUUCAGGGCUGUUGAAAGAACCAAAGGAACCAACGGAUGCAGAGGGACCAGUGCAAGGCCAGCACAUAUGAGGUGCAUUGUGCUGUUAGGAAGAGCUCCGCUGCCACCAACCUCAUUCCCUCCGGGGGACACCGGCCUUUGGCAGCACCUGAGGGGCCGUGGGCAAACACCGUCGCGUUGUAUCCAGAAAUGACGCCUUCCACUAGUGCUGGGGGGUGGCAAGGUACACGUCUUCCUGCGGACAGACGGAAGGAAGACAGGCAAAUGCACACUCCGACCAGAGUUGGGCACCUGGCUGUCUGGAGAGGACAGGUGUGUGGCGCCUGCAAACGCCCUGCUCCCUCUGGACACGGACAGGGACCUCCACGGUGGCAGCCAGCACAGCCACGGCACGAGCCCCACCCCAGUCCUGCAGCCGCCUGGACCACGCCGAGCCCCACGGUGAGACCACGGUGAGGGAGGAUCGCACGAGAAUGACAUGGCUUUUAAGCCCCUUUCCCACGCUGCCAGUCUGCACCACAACCCAGGGCCUGACUCCCAUGAACCAUCAGGCGUAUUUUCUGCUUGAAUGCUGCGCUCAACUUUUCCAACGCAGUCUCCAGGGAAGUCGCUGCACCAUGAACCAAGCAGGCCGCACCUGCCGUCACGCAGCUCACCAGCGCGCCAGGUGACAGCAGCACUGCUCCCGCCCACGAGAGCCAGGGUGCGUGUAGGUGCAGUAAAUUGCUACUGCAUUUUCAUAUAAAUCACGGAGACACCAGAUCCAUGAAGUUCGGAUCUGAGGAACCCAACUUAAUGGUUCGAGCUACAGAGGCCCAUUCACCCCAGCCACGGCUCUCAGUCCGGCCAGCCCGGCAGCAGGGAGCGGCCACACCCGGUCACUUGGUCGUCCAUGGGCAGGAGUGUGCUGGUCACGUCCAGGUCAGUGCUGGGCUCCAGGACUUCUUGGCCACACGAACGAGGCUGGGGAAGGGGCGCCCCUUUAAUAUCCACGCUCCCCCCCAAAGGCCAGGCCUCUGACCCACCAGGAACUUGCUGGAGAGCCCACGUCACCAGGUUCCUACACAAGGGCAGAUCCCUCACAUCCUGACUGCUCUGAACACGAUGGAGAGCAGGCCCGCGUGGGUGGCCAGGAGCCCAGCACCCACCCCGAUGCCCAAGCUGGGGACACUCUGCCUGCCCCUCCCCCGGGUGGGUGGGGAAAUUCUUCUACAAAGGGCCGGCCGUGGGACACCCAGUUCACAGAAAAAGAGAGGUAAUGCCAGCACGAUUGCUUAAGAAAUU